rnacentral:rRNA from 1 species
GACGAACGCUGGCGGCGUGCUUAACACAUGCAAGUCGAACGGAAAGGCCCAGCUUGCUGGGUACUCGAGUGGCGAACGGGUGAGUAGCACGUGGGUGAUCUGCCCUGGACUCUGGGAUAAGCCUGGGAAACUGGGUCUAAUACCGGAUAUGACCUUACAUCGCAUGGUGUUUGGUGGAAAGCUUUUGCGGUUCAGGAUGGGCCCGCGGCCUAUCAGCUUGUUGGUGGGGUAAUGGCCUACCAAGGCGACGACGGGUAGCCGACCUGAGAGGGUGAUCGGCCACACUGGGACUGAGACACGGCCCAGACUCCUACGGGAGGCAGCAGUGGGGAAUAUUGCACAAUGGGCGCAAGCCUGAUGCAGCGACGCCGCGUGAGGGAUGACGGCCUUCGGGUUGUAAACCUCUUUCACCAGGGACGAAGCGUGAGUGACGGUACCUGGAGAAGAAGCACCGGCCAACUACGUG